rnacentral:rRNA from 1 species
UACGGGGGGGGCAAGCGUUGUUCGGAAUUACUGGGCGUAAAGGGCGCGCAGGCGGCUGCUCAAGUCAGGCGUGAAAGGCCUGGGCUCAACCCGGGAAUUGCGCUUGAGACUGGGCUGGCUUGAGUGCGGGAGAGGAUGGUGGAAUUCCCAGUGUAGAGGUGAAAUGCGUAGAUAUUGGGAGGAACACCAGUGGCGAAGGCGGCUCACUGGACCGGAACUGACGCUGAGGCGCGAAAGCGUGGGGAGCGAACAGG